GCCUUUGUUGGACAUAAUGCUCUCUUUGCAAUUUUGCGGCUCUGUAUGCUCGGUAAUGUUGCUGAAUGAGAAUCGAGGCGUGUUUCCAGGUCUGAAAGGCAAGGUGUGUUCUGUGCAUUCUGAAAGUUGCCUGGAUGAGGGCUGCGGCCCUGUGCAUCUCCUGUAACUUCUUCUUUGCCAUCAGCCUUCGUGGGACUGGAUGAGUGUUGCUGCGGUCUGCAUCCUUCUCAGGGUCUGUCUAACUCGUCCUCCUCUGAAACUGGCCUGGAGAAUGGUAACAGCUUUCAAAGUUGUCAGCCCGCGCUCUCAGAUGUUGCUGGAUGACGGAUGCUGCCGUUUUUAACAACCCGAACUCUUUCUGGGCCUUGGCCAUUCUGAAAGCAGACUGAAUCUUCACUGCAGCCUGAUGUUCCCUUCUGAUCUGCUUCCGAACUUUCCAGCCACGUUAUCCCAGCAACACGUGAGCUACAAAGUCUCAAGCGGAUCCUGGCUACUGGUCAUCAAGCUCUGGACGUUCUUCUCGCAAUAAGACCAUUCCUUUGUCCAAAACACUCCAAAUAUUGCUAAGAUGUGGCGGGGACUAAUGGAAGGAUUAAAAGUCUCAGAAAAAAACCAUCAAAGAUACAACUAAGAACCAAAUGGGAAUAUUAGAACUGAAAACACAAUAACCAAGACAACAGCGACAAAAAACCUCACUGGCAUGGCUCAGUAGCUGAAUGGAGAUGACAGAAGAAUCAAUGAACUUGGAGAUCAAUACAAAUUCUCUAGGCUGAACAAGAAAGAAAAAAAAUGACUGGGGAAAAAAAGAGAAAGAAAUUUCUCAACAGACUAAGAGUAGAGGGGAACCUCCUCAGUAUAAUAAGAACAUUUACACAAACCUACAGCUAUCAUCAGAUUUAACAGUGAGAAACUAAAUGCUUUCCCUCUUAGACCAGGAAUAAUACAAGGAUAUAUCCUCUCACCAAGCCUAUUUAGCAUCUACUAGAGGUCCUGCCUAAUGCAAUAAGAAAAGGACAUAAAAGCUAUGCAGACAGAGAAGAAAUAAACCCUUUUUUUGUUCAUAGAUGACAUGAUCAUUUAUGUAGAAAAUUCAAAGAAAUGACAAAAAAACCCUCCUGGAAUAAGCAAUUAUAGCAAAUUUGUAGAAUAUGGAAACAUUAACAUUAUUAGCAAAAAAAAGAGAAAUACUUAAGAAUAUAUCUAACAAAAUAUGCACAAGAUCUGUCAGAGCUACAAAACUGUGCUGAAAGAUAACACAGAAUAUCUAAAUAAAUAGAGAUAUAUCAUAUUCAUAGAUAGGAAGGCUGGAUUUUGUUAAGAUGCCAGUUCUUCCCACCUGGAUCUAUCAAUUCAAUGUCGUCUCAAUCAAAAUCUCAUCCAGUUACUUUGUGGACACUGGCAGACUGCUUCUAAAGUACAUAAGGUGACGCAAAAUACCCAGAAUAGCAAAUACAAUAGUGAAGAAAAACAAAGUUGGAGGACUAACAUCAUCCAACUUCAAAAGUUAUUAUAAAGCCACAGUAAUUGAGACAGUGUGAUACUGGCAAAAUAAUAGAAAAAUAGAUCAAUGGAACAGAAUAAGGAGCCCAGAAAUAGACCCAUGCAACAUAGUCAACUGAUGUUUGAUAAACAAACAACACAACUGAAUGGAUAAAAGAUAGUUUUGUCGGGCUUCCCUGG